UAGGGAAUCUUCCACAAUGGACGCAAGUCUGAUGGAGCAACGGCCGCGUGAGUGAAGAAGGUUUUCGGACCGUAAAGCUCUGUUGUUGGUGAAGAAGGAUAGAGGUAGUAACUGGCCUUUAUUUGACGGUAAUCAACCAGAAAGUCACGGCUAACUACGUGCCAGCAGCCGCGGUAAUACGUAGGUGGCAAGCGUUGUCCGGAUUUAUUGGGCGUAAAGCGAGCGCAGGCGGAAGAAUAAGUCUGAUGUGAAAGCCCUCGGCUUAACCGAGGAAUUGCAUCGGAAACUGUUUUCUUGAGUGCAGAAGAGGAGAGUAGAACUCCAUGUGUAGCGGUGGAAUGCGUAGAUAUAUGGAAGAAUACCAGUGGCGAAGGCGGCUCUCUGGUCUGCAACUGACGCUGAGGCUCGAAAGCAUGGGUAGCGAACAGGAUUAGAUACCCUGGUAGUCCAUGCCGUAAACGAUGAGUGCUAA
rnacentral:rRNA from 1 species